AUUGAACGCUGGCGGCAGGCCUAACACAUGCAAGUCGAACGAGUGGCGGACGGGUGAGUAAUGUCUGGGAAACUGCCUGAUGGAGGGGGAUAACUACUGGAAACGGUAGCUAAUACCGCAUACCAUCAGAUGUGCCCAGAUGGGAUUAGCUUGUUGGUGGGGUAACCGCGCACCAAGGCGACGAUCCCUAGCUGGUCUGAGAGGAUGACCAGCCACACGGGAGAUGAGAAACGGUCCAGGCUCAUAAGGCAGGCAGCCACGUGGAAUAUUGAACAAUGGGCGCAAGCCUGAUGCAGCCAUGCCGCGUGUAUGAAGAAGGCCUUCGGGUUGUAAAGUACUUUCAGCGGGGAGGCUUUACCCGCAGAAGAAGCACCGGCUAACUCCGUGUCAGCAGCCGCGGUAAUAC
rnacentral:rRNA from 1 species